rnacentral:piRNA from 1 species
UUAAGAGGAUUUGUGUAGGUCAGCG